rnacentral:lncRNA from 1 species
AUGCGCAGCGCUGCUGGCCCGCUCUCUGAGGAGCUUUCAAUACUUUGGGGUCAAGUUUGAGGCAGUUGUAACUGUACUGAGUUUAGUUUUGCUAAUAAUGGUAUUCUACGUGUGUCAGCCUCGUGUGGACUUCUGUAAUGACUAAUGGAUAUGUUUAUAUCCUGAGCAUUUGCUGUAGGAAUUUUAAAUGCAAUCCCAAAACUCAAGAUUACCUUAUUUGGAGAAAUAUUCGUGUUACUAUGUUUAAAAUUUAAUAGAACCAUAUUUUACCUUUCACUUUGGGACUCGCACAGGAUGUUUGCAGCUCUUGAUAUACAGGAACUAGAACGUGUCUUUUAAGAGCAUGCGGUUUUAUAAUUACGUGGAAGUAUGCUACGCAAGGGAAAAAAGCCUCUUGCUAGUGUUAAGGGUCUUCAUAAACAGAAACCGCAAGGAACCUGGGAUCUGACAGCUGUUGGAGGAAUGCCUGUGAGGAAGGAGGAGGAACAGAAGAAUGCUUUGAUGUCUUAAAUGGUACAUCCAAACUUAAGUGAAAUAGAGCUGUGAGGACAUUUUGGGGAGAAGUGACCUAGAUAAGCACUGACUGUUGCAUUCAUCUCUCUUCUUGCUGAUUGUGAUGAUUUCCUGUGCCAUAGCCAUUCAAAGUCUGCCAAAAAAGCUAGCAUGUAAUUUUCUUUCUCUACUUCUCUACAUUUGGAGGAUGGAAAUGUAGAUGUUCUUCCAUUGUGCCAGCCUCCUCAUUCUUCUUUCUCCAAUGCCGCAUCUUCCUGCAAACUUCCUGCCACAACUCAAACAACAGGAAAAUAAAUGAUCUGAAAUCCUCCUGAACUGCAGCCUACCUAUCGUGGUCUCUAUGGGUGCAAACUUCCUUCCAGAAGCUUGUUCAGCUGGCUAAAACAGGACAUUUGCCAAUGCAGCCAAAAGUUGGGUCUUAUACUGGCUACCUCCUAUGCAGAGUGAAAAACUUUUCUUUCUCCCACAGCCACAGACAUCGCUCCUCUUCCAGCUCAACAUCUUUCAAAGGGAUGGCUCUCAGUCCCGAAAUGAAAAGAAAAGGUGGCUUGGUGCAAAUCAUUCUCUUUAUCAGCAAAAGAAAUACCAAAGCCUGUGUCCUUCUGACAUAGUGAGCUGUCGAGGUAGUCCAGGGAAAAGAUGACAGUGAAUUGAGUUAUGGGAUGGCAAUGGAGACUGAAAAGAAUCUGUGUUUAUUAUAUGUAUAUAUAUCAUUAAGGUAGAACUAGUGGAUUUUCUCUGGCACUGCACAUGGGAAGCAAGUGAAGGAGAGUGAUCUAGAAUGACGCCACCAUUUUUGCCUGAGAAAUUCAGUACUCAGAGGUGUCUGUCAUUCAGAGAGAUGGAGGAAACAAGAAGAGGAGCAAGUUGGGGGAGAGGGUAAGCAGAAUCAAAAACUGUGUUGAUACAUUAACUUUAGGAUGCAUAGUAGACAUCAGAGUACAGAUGGAGUUUAGGAGCAAAGUUAUAUAGAGAGAUAAAUUUGAGAACCUGUAAUUCUUUUAUUUGUGGCAGAUAAUUAGACAAAUGAUUUCUAAAUAUUCCCAUGACUACUACAGAACAUCAAUAAAUUCCUUAAUAAUACUAGAAGGAGAAAUGUGGUUUAAAUUUUCCCAGGGGUUUUCUAACCUUUCAGCAAUUCUCUUUCUUUUCAGCAAAUGUUUGGUAAUUAUGCUGGAAUAUUGGGGUGGGGGUGCUUUCUUUUUAAGGCCGCUAUUUCUUUAUGUAUUUCUCUGGUCUUUAAGCUCUCAAGUAGAGUCAUCUGAUGUGAUUUCUCAGCUAAUAUGGGCAUUUUAUAACUUGCCCAGAGCCUCAUUGUUUUCAAUUCUGUUUUUUUUCCCCCAUUAG